GCGAUGGUGGUAUAGUGGUGAGCAUACGGUAGCUGCCUCCCAAGCAGUUGACCUGGGUUUGACUCGUGGCCAUCACA